GAUGAACGCUGGCGGCGUGCCUAAUACAUGCAAGUCGAGCGAACGGACGAGAAGCUUGCUUCUCUGAUGUUAGCGGCGGACGGGUGAGUAACACGUGGAUAACCUACCUAUAAGACUGGGAUAACUUCGGGAAACCGGAGCUAAUACCGGAUAAUAUUUUGAACCGCAUGGUUCAAAAGUGAAAGACGGUCUUGCUGUCACUUAUAGAUGGAUCCGCGCUGCAUUAGCUAGUUGGUAAGGUAACGGCUUACCAAGGCAACGAUGCAUAGCCGACCUGAGAGGGUGAUCGGCCACACUGGAACUGAGACACGGUCCAGACUCCUACGGGAGGCAGCAGUAGGGAAUCUUCCGCAAUGGGCGAAAGCCUGACGGAGCAACGCCGCGUGAGUGAUGAAGGUCUUCGGAUCGUAAAACUCUGUUAUUAGGGAAGAACAUAUGUGUAAGUAACUGUGCACAUCUUGACGGUACCUAAUCAGAAAGCCACGGCUAACUACGG
rnacentral:rRNA from 1 species